GGACCUGUAGCCUAGCCUGGAUAGGGCGACAAAAGAACGGGUAAGCCUCGUUUUUUCGCUAGAGCCUUCUAAGCUGUAGAUCGCAAGUUCAAAUCUUGCCAGGUCCA
rnacentral:tRNA from 1 species